GCGAUUACACCAACACCAAGAAAGGCUCCAGCUCCGGCGAUUACACUUGCUCUAGCGAUUACACCAACACGAACCAGCGGCGAAAGCUUCGGUGCACGCGACGAACCAGCGACCAAGGCUCUGACGCACGGGACGAACCAGGCAGGGAGACGAACGUGUCGUCGCUGAUUUAACUUAGAUUGCGAUCUUUCCCCUAACAUCAACUGCUAAUUUGCAUAGAUUCCACAAACUCAAUUAAAGCGAACAAGCCGACAAUUUGAAUUAUUCAUUAUGCAUUUGGCAUGGGUUGCUUUCUUUAUCCAGGGCCUACUGUGCUGAAAACUUAGUUGAUAUAAUCAUUUUUUGGCUGGUUUAAAUGCAUUUAUUGUUGUCGUGUUGUUGAUUAUGGUAGAACUGCAGGGGUGAUGGGAAAUUGCUGUUUUCGUGGGAUCUAGUGAGGGAAGGUUGCGAUCAGCGAUGUCAGGAGGCCAACCAUCGGGUUCGACGCAAGCCGAUAAAGAUCCGUCCGUUCGACAAUUUGUUGCGAAUGGGGAAAUUGUAAAACU
rnacentral:lncRNA from 1 species